rnacentral:rRNA from 1 species
GCGAACGGGUGAGUAACAUAUCGGAACGUACCGAGUAAUGGGGGAUAACUAAUCGAAAGAUUAGCUAAUACCGCAUAUUCUCUGAGGAGGAAAGCAGGGGACCUUCGGGCCCUGCGUUAUUCGAGCGGCCGAUAUCUGAUUAGCUAGUUGGUGGGGUAAAGGCCUACCAAGGCGACGAUCAGUAGCGGGUCUGAGAGGAUGAUCCGCCACACUGGGACUGAGACACGGCCCAGACUCCUACGGGAGGCAGCAGUGGGGAAUUUUGGACAAUGGGCGCAAGCCUGAUCCAGCCAUGCCGCGUGUCUGAAGAAGGCCUUCGGGUUGUAAAGGACUUUUGUCAGGGAAGAAAAGGUUGUUGCUAAUAUCGACAGCUGAUGACG